CGGAGGAGCGGGGUGACGUGAGAGAACUUGGGAAGGUUGGACAUGUAGUGUACUUCAAAUACCUGGAUUAAAUACAUGGGAGUGUAUUUAUGUCAGUGUAUUUGAGUCGUUUUUUUGCAAGUACAUUCCAAUAUUCAACUACUUCUUAAUACUUGUUUUGAAAUGUAUUGAAAAGUAAUUGGGGUGUACUUGUACAUCAAGCUAUCUCAUGCUACAGAAAACGGAUAUAGGCUCAUGCUCCUAUGAUACAUUAUGGCACGCCAAGGCUUGAGCAAGGCUAAUUACCUUACUGGACCAUCAGACAGGUAGCCUUUACUAGCAGUCAGCGUAUGGACGGUACAAUAACAUAUGAUAAAAAGCAAACAUGUAUGGUCAUUGGUCAGUGUAUGGCAGGGUUCCUGGAGAGCUACCGUCCUGUAGGUUUUCACUCCAACCCUGUUCCUGGAGAGCUACCCUCCUGUAGGUUUUCACUCCAACCCUGUUCCUGGAGAGCUACCCUCCUGUAGGUUUUCACUCCAACCCUGUUCCUGGAGAGCUACCCUCCUGUAGGUUUUCACUCCAACCCUGUUCCUGGAGAGCUACCCUCCUGUAGGUUUUCACUCCAACCCUGUUCCUGGAGAGCUACCCUCCUGUAGGUUUUCACUCCAACCCUGUUCCUGGAGAGCUACCCUCCUGUAGGUUUUCACUCCAACCCUGUUCCUGGAGAGCUACCGUCCUGUAGGUUUUCACUCCAACCCUGUUCCUGGAGAGCUACCCUCCUGUAGGUUUACACUCCAACCCUGUUCCUGGAGAGCUACCCUCCUGUAGGUUUUCACUCCAACCCUCCUCUAGCGCACCUGAUUCUAAUAAUUAGCUGGUUGAUAAGCCGAAUCAGUUUUUUUUUUACAAAAACUAAAAAAGUACUUUAUGUUCAGUGUAUGGUAUACUGUAGGGUUGGGAUUUAAUUUGGGAUCAUCUU